rnacentral:rRNA from 1 species
UACGUAGGGUCCGAGCGUUAAUCGGAAUUACUGGGCGUAAAGCGUGCGCAGGCGGUUCGCAAAGACAGGUGUGAAAUCCCCGGGCUUAACCUGGGAACUGCGCUUGUAACUAGCGGGCUAGAGUGGCGGCAGAGGGGGGUGGAAUUCCACGUGUAGCAGUGAAAUGCGUAGAUAUGUGGAGGAACACCGAUGGCGAAGGCAGCCCCCUGGGUCGACACUGACGCUCAUGCACAAAAGCGUGGGGAGCAAACAGG